GACGAACGCUGGCGGCGUGCCUAAUACAUGCAAGUCGAGCGAAUCUCGAGGAGCUUGCUCCUUGAGAUUAGCGGCGGACGGGUGAGUAACACGUGGGCAACCUGCCUGUAAGACUGGGAUAACACCGGGAAACCGGUGCUAAUACCGGAUAAUUCUUCUCCUCACAUGUGGGGAAGCUGAAAGUCGGUUUCGGCUGACACUUACAGAUGGGCCCGCGGCGCAUUAGCUAGUUGGUGAGGUAACGGCUCACCAAGGCGACGAUGCGUAGCCGACCUGAGAGGGUGAUCGGCCACACUGGGACUGAGACACGGCCCAGACUCCUACGGGAGGCAGCAGUAGGGAAUCUUCCGCAAUGGACGAAAGUCUGACGGAGCAACGCCGCGUGUGUGAUGAAGGCCUUCGGGUCGUAAAACUCUGUUGUUAGGGAAGAACAAGUAUCGGAGUAACUGCCGGUACCUUGACGGUACCUAACCAGAAAGCCACCGCUAACUACGUGCCAGCAGCCGCCGCAG
rnacentral:rRNA from 1 species